CAGCGAGGGCCAGGAGGUGGGCGCACGGGGGACGGCGGGCAGAGCUGCCAGGCAACCUGUGCCUGAGAGUCUCUUCCUUCUCAGUGCACACAACUUGCUCUGCCACUUCCCAACUGGCGGACCACACUGUCACACCAGGCUUCCAAACACCUUCUAUAUACCUGGCUCCGGAGAAAACGGCAGGAGGCAAGACAGACAAGCUCCAGAGCAGUGCAAGGCGAAUUUAAGACGACCACCGGUGGUUAACACAGACCGCGCACAAGGGUCCAAGAAGACCAACCCUCACGGGCACCCCGGAGGGCUUCUUAAAGGAAACACCUUGUACUGUACCGGUGAGGAGCCAGCACGGUGGCCACUCUUAAGCCUACAAAGCCUCUAGUCUACUCCAGCUUCCUACUCAAGUUAUGGGGAAGUCGGUACUGCAAACAGCC